AUCCUGGCUCAGAUUGAACGCUGGCGGCAUGCCUUACACAUGCAAGUCGAACGGCAGCGCGGGGCAACCUGGCGGCGAGUGGCGAACGGGUGAGUAAUAUAUCGGAACGUACCCUGGAGUGGGGGAUAACGUAGCGAAAGUUACGCUAAUACCGCAUACGAUCUAAGGAUGAAAGUGGGGGAUCGCAAGACCUCAUGCUCCUGGAGCGGCCGAUAUCUGAUUAGCUAGUUGGUAGGGUAAAAGCCUACCAAGGCAUCGAUCAGUAGCUGGUCUGAGAGGACGACCAGCCACACUGGAACUGAGACACGGUCCAGACUCCUACGGGAGGCAGCAGUGGGGAAUUUUGGACAAUGGGCGCAAGCCUGAUCCAGCAAUGCCGCGUGAGUGAAGAAGGCCUUCGGGUUGUAAAGCUCUUUUGUCAGGGAAGAAACGGGUCUUUCUAAUACAGAGAUCUAAUGACGGUACCUGAAGAAUAAGCACCGGCUAACUACGUG
rnacentral:rRNA from 1 species